GGUUUACUUCACAUUAGAUGGAUCAAGGGAAGAUCAAGUACUAGUUCCCAAAGAAACGGAACUAGAACAUGUACCAACUUCAGUGAAACUUUCAGGUAAAACACCAACUAUCUUAGAAACAUGAGAAAAAGACAACAGAGCUAACCACAUACUUGAUUUAUCAGGGCCCUACUGGUUUUUGCAAAGGCAGCCUUUUCAGGUGGACCUGGCUUCCUUCCUGUUCCAAAGACUCAAGUCCCCCAAGGAUAGACAAGAAACAGACAAGAAACCAUAUGCAUAGGACAAUAACGGAAGCCAGAGAAUGUACCUUGCUGGAGUAAUCUAAUCUGCUCAACAGAAGGUUAUAAAGGCACCAACAGGAAAGGGAGUGAGUGGAGCUUCUUGAAGCAGUCUGGGAAGAACCUGAAACACAUGGUCCAGUUCUCACGGUGUGCUUGUGGGAAAGGCACUUCCAGCUAGCACUCAGUAGGACCAGCUGACUCCAGGAGCCACCAUACUAGAAGUACUGCUCAUCUGCUUUUCAGUCUGAAGCUGUUCAGAAAACAAAAGGUUCCAGCAAGAGGAAUCUGUGUGAGACACACAGGCAGGAAGCAGAGCUGAGCUCCCAGUGACUAGAAUAGAAACAGGAAAUGGGCCCAGGAACAAGCAUACCGUCAUCCGCUGCAAGCAGCAGCCUCCAGCAGGCACUAGGCAGUGUCAGAGCUGGAGCAGUGUGAUUCAGAUGGAGAAGCGCAUUGGCCAGCCCUGCUAGAGAACCAGUGUUCUAGAGAAGGGACAGCUACACGCCUGGGGUACACACUGCUCUGAGCAAUCUGGGUAGAUAUGACAGAGGGGGUGGGGAUUUCCUUUUCGAGAAUGUGAGAGCACCUGGGCACCAGUUCAAGGGAAGCAAGCACAGAUACAUGGUCACAGACAUAAAGAGAACAGGUCACCAACCUCAGAGUGGCCUGACUUCUCUGGCCACUGAAAUUGCUAGUGGCAUUUCUGUUAGUGCUUUGAAAAUAAAACAUCAAAAACCUA